CAGCAGCCGCGGUAAUACGAAGGGGGCUAGCGUUGCUCGGAAUCACUGGGCGUAAAGGGUGCGUAGGCGGGUCUUUAAGUCAGGGGUGAAAUCCUGGAGCUCAACUCCAGAACUGCCUUUGAUACUGAAGAUCUUGAGUUCGGGAGAGGUGAGUGGAACUGCGAGUGUAGAGGUGAAAUUCGUAGAUAUUCGCAAGAACACCAGUGGCGAAGGCGGCUCAUUGGCCCGAUACUGACGCUGAGGCACGAAAGCGUGGGGAGCAAACAGGAUUAGAUACCCCCGUAGUCCCUGUCUCUUAUAC
rnacentral:rRNA from 1 species